AGAGUUUGAUCCUGGCUCAGAACGAACGCUGGCGGCAGGCUUAACACAUGCAAGUCGAACGGCUGUAGCAAUACAGCAGUGGCAGACGGGUGAGUAACACGUGGGAACCUUCCUAGGGGUACGGAACAACUCAGGGAAACUUGAGCUAAUACCGUAUACGUCCGAGAGGAGAAAGAUUUAUCGCCCUUAGACGGGCCCGCGUCGGAUUAGGUAGUUGGUGGGGUAACGGCCUACCAAGCCUACGAUCCGUAGCUGAUCUGAGAGGAUGAUCAGCCACACUGGGACUGAGACACGGCCCAGACUCCUACGGGAGGCAGCAGUGGGGAAUCUUGGACAAUGGGCGCAAGCCUGAUCCAGCCAUGCCGCGUGAGUGAAGAAGGCCUUAGGGUUGUAAAGCUCUUUUGCCAGGGACGAUAAUGACGGUACAUGGAGAAUAAGNCCCCGGCAAAAA
rnacentral:rRNA from 1 species